rnacentral:rRNA from 1 species
AGAGUUUGAUCAUGGCUCAGGACGAACGCUGGCGGCGCGCCUAACACAUGCAAGUCGAACGAGCGAGAGGGCUUGCUUUCUCGAGCGAGUGGCGAACGGGUGAGUAACGCGUGAGGAACCUGCCUCAAAGAGGGGGACAACAGUUGGAAACGACUGCUAAUACCGCAUAAGCCCACGGGUCGGCAUCAACCAGAGGGAAAAGGAGCGAUCCGCUUUGAGAUGGCCUCGCGUCCGAUUAGCUAGUUGGUGAGGUAACGGCCACCAAGGCGACGAUCGGUAGCCGGACUGAGAGGCUGAACGGCCACAUUGGGACUGAGACACGGCCCAGACUCCUACGGGAGGCA